rnacentral:rRNA from 1 species
CCUACGGGUGGCUGCAGUGGGGAAUAUUGGGCAAUGGAGGAAACUCUGACCCAGCAACGCCGCGUGAAUGAUGAAGUUCUUCGGAUUGUAAAGCUCUUUUCUAAGGGAAGAAGAAAGUGACGGUACCUUACCAAUAAGCCUCGGCUAACUACGUGCCAGCAGCCGCGGUAAUACGUAGGAGGCGAGCGUUAUCCGGAAUUACUGGGCGUAAAGGGUGCGUAGACGGUUUGGCAAGUCUGGAGCGUAACUCCAAGGCUCAACCCUGGAACUGCUACUGAAACUGUUGGACUUGAGUGCAGGAGGGGUAACCGGAAUUCCUAGUGUAGCGGUGGAAUGCGUAGAUAUUAGGAGGAACACCAGUGGCGAAGGCGGGUUACUAGACUGUAACUGACGCUGAGGCUCGAAAGCGUGGGGAGCAAACAGGAUUAGAUACCCGGGUAGUC